rnacentral:snoRNA from 1 species
GGCAGGUGAUGUCUAUUUUAACGAUGGUCUUCAGGCACUGCUGAGAAAGCCAAUUGGCAGAACUGAUGCCAGAAA